GAGGAAUAUUGGACAAUGGAUGGAAAUCUGAUCCAGCCAUGCCGCGUGCAGGAAGACGGCCCUAUGGGUUGUGAACUGCUUUUGUAUGGGAGCAAUAAGGUCUACGUGUAGACCGAUGAGAGUACCAUACGAAUAAGCACCGGCUAACUCCGUGCCAGCAGCCGCGGUAAUACGGAGGGUGCAAGCGUUAUCCGGAUUUAUUGGGUUUAAAGGGUGCGUAGGCGGUUUGAUAAGUCAGCGGUGUAAUAUUUCAGCUUAACUGGAAGGGUGCCGUUGAUCCUGUCAGGCUUGAAUGUAGUUGCUGUGGGUGGAAUGUGUGGUGUAGCGGUGAAAUGCAUAGAUAUCACACAGAAUAUCGAUUGCGAAGGCAGCUCACAAAGCUAAUAUUGACGCUGAUGCACGAAAGUGUGGGGAUCAAAC
rnacentral:rRNA from 1 species